rnacentral:lncRNA from 1 species
AAGAGCUGGCAUUGUGACUUUUUGGGCAAGGCCAAAGGAUUUAUUUUAUAGCACAUAAGGAUAAAAGAUCCGCACUGAAGAUUUUGGAAGAUGGACAAAUCCUUCAAAGGGAUAGCUGGACUGCAGGUUUGGUCAUUAAAAGCUAGAGAGACAAGAGACGUACACCUUUCUGGAAACUCAGACUGAAAAGUGGUGAAGAAAAGGACAUAAGAGAAGAUAACUUGCUGGAAGACCAAAAUGGCAAUACCUAGAGAAAUUAUGGAAUUAUGUUUAAAUAGGGAAAUUUUUCAAA